CUGUGUAAGAAUCUUCUGGGCAGAUUUCCCAGCUUCAUCCACAGAGAUUCUGGUUCAGCAGGUGAGAGGGGUUGGGGAUGGAACACAGCAAUCUCCAUUUUCAUAAGCAUGCCACUCUCAUUCUACCUAUCUCUCCUUCAAAAUAUUUUAUGCACACAAUUACUUCCUCAUGAUGAUUUGUUUAGACAAGCCUCAGGAAAGUAUUUGUUUCAAUGGAGUAUCUGACACCUAGAAAGCCCUCAGUAAGUGUUUUCAGUUAACUCUCCUAACAGACCUAGAUUCAAGGAUUUAGACAGAAGGGUGGAGGGUUUCUGUAUUGAGGUCACCUGGAGAGACUAAGGUAAUGAACUAGCCUCAGUCUCUGCCUAGAUGUCACCAGGUGGUGAUACUCUUUUGUUACAUUUUACCUUUAUUUCAUCAUAAUAAGAGUUUAUUUUUUACAAACCCAGGCAUGUCUUACCUACUAAAGCGAGUAAGAUGAGGGAAGUUUCCUCACUUUUCUUAGACACCCUUGUUCUUUGGUGGGAGCUUGGACCAGCCUUGGCCAGUGGUAUGCGAAUUUUCUCUUCCUUACUAAGGAGACUGUGGAGAUGGAAACAUUAACUGAUCUGAGUCAGGGGAAGCAAGGGAAGCCGACAGAAUAGAGUCUCAAGUGAUGUGGACCCAGUUUCUUGCUGGAAUUUGCAAAGCCGAUUUAAGCAUGAUCUUAGUUGUCAG